rnacentral:rRNA from 1 species
UGGGGAAUCUUCCGCAAUGGACGAAAGUCUGACGGAGCAACGCCGCGUGUAUGACGAAGGCCUUCGGGUUGUAAAGUACUGUCUUUGGGGACGAACGGUAUCUAUGUAAAUAAUGCAGAUACAUGACGGUACCCAAGGAGGAAGCCCCGGCUAACUACGUGCCAGCAGCCGCGGUAAUACGUAGGGGGCGAGCGUUGUCCGGAAUCAUUGGGCGUAAAGGGCGCGUAGGCGGGUCAUUAAGUCUGGUGUGAAAGGCAGGGGCUCAACCCCUGGAAGGCACCGGAAACUGGUUAUCUUGAGGGACAGGAGAGGAAAGCGGAAUUCCACGUGUAGCGGUGAAAUGCGUAGAUAUGUGGAGGAACACCAGUGGCGAAGGCGGCUUUCUGGACUGUAACUGACGCC